GAGCGAACAGGAUUAGAUACCCUGGUAGUCCACGCCGUAAACGAUGCUAACUCGUUUUUGGGGCGCAAGCUUCAGAGACCAAGCGAAAGUGAUAAGUUAGCCACCUGGGGAGUACGUUCGCAAGAAUGAAACUCAAAGGAAUUGACGGGGGCCCGCACAAGCGGUGGAUUAUGUGGUUUAAUUCGAUGAUACGCGAGGAACCUUACCAAGACUUAAAUGGGAAAUGACAGGUUUAGAAAUAGAUCCUUCUUCGGACAUUUUUCAAGGUGCUGCAUGGUUGUCGUCAGCUCGUGCCGUGAGGUGUUAGGUUAAGUCCUGCAACGAGCGCAACCCCUGUCACUAGUUGCUAACAUUCAGUUGAGGACUCUAGUGAGACUGCCUACGCAAGUAGAGAGGAAGGUGGGGAUGACGUCAAAUCAUCACGGCCCUUACGUCUUGGGCCACACACGUAAUACAAUGGCCGGUACAGAGGGCAGCUACACAGCGAUGUGAUGCAAAUCUCGAAAGCCGGUCUCAGUUCGGAUUGGAGUCUGCAACUCGACUCUAUGAAGCUGGAAUCGCUAGUAAUCGCGCAUCAGCCAUGGCGCGGUGAAUACGUUCCCGGGCCUUGUACACACCGCCCGUCAAGCCAUGGAAGUCUGGGGUACYGAAKCGGUGACCKAAAAGGAGCUG
rnacentral:rRNA from 1 species